rnacentral:rRNA from 1 species
ACGGUAACAGGAAAGAGCUUGCUCUUUUGCUGACGAGUGGCGCACGGGUGCGUAACGCGUAUACAAUCUGCCUUCAAGCGGGGGAUAGCCCAUGGAAACGUGGAUUAAUACCCCAUGGUAUUAUGAUUUCACCUGGAAUUAUAAUUAAACAUUUAUGGCUUGAAGAUGAGUAUGCGUCCUAUUAGCUAGAUGGAGUGGUAACGGCACCCCAUGGCGACGAUAGGUAGGGGUCCUGAGAGGGAGAUCCCCCACACUGGUACUGAGACACGGACCAGACUCCUACGGGAGGCAGCAGUGAGGAAUAUUGGACAAUGGAGGCAACUCUGAUCCAGCCAUGCCGCGUGCAGGAAGACUGCCCUAUGGGUUGUAAACUGCUUUUAUACAGGAAGAAACCUUCUCACGUGUGGGGAGCUGACGGUACUGUAUGAAUAAGGAUCGGCUAACUCCGUGCCAGCAGCCGCGGUAAUACGGAGGAUCCAAGCGUUAUCCGGAAUCAUUGGGUUUAAAGGGUCCGUAGGCGGGUUUAUAAGUCAGUGGUGAAAGUCUGUCGCUUAACGAUAGAAUUGCCAUUGAUACUGUAGAUCUUGAAUUAUUAUGAAGUGGUUGGAAUGAGUAGUGUAGCGGUGAAAUGCAUAGAUAUUACUCAGAACACCUAUUGCGAAGGCAGAUCACUAAUAAUAUAUUGACGCUGAUGGACGAAAGCGUAGGUAGCGAACAGGAUUAGAUACCCUGGUAGUCUACGCUGUAAACGAUGGUCACUAGCUGUCCGGCCUAAUUGAGGGCUGGGUGGCCAAGCGAAAGUGAUAAGUGACCCACCUGGGGAGUACGUUCGCAAGAAUGAAACUCAAAGGAAUUGACGGGGGCCCGCACAAGCGGUGGAGCAUGUGGUUUAAUUCGAUGAUACGCGAGGAACCUUACCAGGGCUUAAAUGCAGUCUGACAGGAGUGGAAA